UACGGAGGGAGCUAGCGUUGUUCGGAAUUACUGGGCGUAAAGCGUGCGCAGACGGUUGCGUAAGUCAGAUGUGAAAGCCCCGGGCUCAACCUGGGAAUUGCAUUUGAGACUGCGUAGCUAGGGUGCGGAAGAGGGAAGCGGAAUUUCCGGUGUAGCGGUGAAAUGCGUAGAUAUCGGAAGGAACACCAGUGCCGAAAGCGGCUUCCUGGUCCAGCACCGACGUCAGGCACGAAAGCGUGGGGAGCAAACAGG
rnacentral:rRNA from 1 species